UGGGGAAUAUUGCACAAUGGGCGCAAGCCUGAUGCAGCCAUGCCGCGUGUGUGAAGAAGGCCUUCGGGUUGUAAAGCACUUUCAGCGGGGAGGAAGGCGGUGAGGUUAAUAACCUCACCGAUUGACGUUACCCGCAGAAGAAGCACCGGCUAACUCCGUGCCAGCAGCCGCGGUAAUACGGAGGGUGCAAGCGUUAAUCGGAAUUACUGGGCGUAAAGCGCACGCAGGCGGUCUGUCAAGUCGGAUGUGAAAUCCCCGGGCUCAACCUGGGAACUGCAUUCGAAACUGGGAGGCUAGAGUCUUGUAGAGGGGGGUAGAAUUCCAGGUGUAGCGAUGAAAUGCGUAGAGAUCUGGAGGAAUACCGGUGGCGAAGGCGGCCCCCUGGACAAAGAAUGACGCUCAGGUGCGAAAGCGUGGGGAGCAAACAGG
rnacentral:rRNA from 1 species